rnacentral:rRNA from 1 species
UUGAACGCUGGCGGCAUGCCUUACACAUGCAAGUCGAACGGCAGCACGGGUGCUUGCACCUGGUGGCGCGUGGCGAACGGGUGAGUAAUACAUCGGAACAUGUCCUGUAGUGGGGGAUAGCCCGGCGAAAGCCGGAUUAAUACCGCAUACGAUCUACGGAUGAAAGCGGGGGCCCUUCGGGCCUCGCGCUAUAGGGUUGGCCGAUGGCUGAUUAGCUAGUUGGUGGGGUAAAGGCCUACCAAGGCGACGAUCAGUAGCUGGUCUGAGAGGACGACCAGCCACACUGGGACUGAGACACGGCCCAGACUCCUACGGGAGGCAGCAGUGGGGAAUUUUGGACAAUGGGCGAAAGCCUGAUCCAGCAAUGCCGCGUGUGUGAAGAAGGCCUUCGGGUUGUAAAGCACUUUUGUCCGGAAAGAAAUCCUUGGCCCUAAUACGGUCGGGGGAUGACGGUACCGGAAGAAUAAGCACCGGCUAACUACGUG